rnacentral:rRNA from 1 species
AACGAACGCUGGCGGCAUGCCUAACACAUGCAAGUCGAACGAGAUCUUCGGAACUUUUGGCGCACGGCUGCGUAACGCGUGGGAAUCUGCCCCUUGCUUCGGAAUAACUGUGAGAAAUUACUGCUAAUACCGGAUGAUGUCUUCUGACCAAAGAUUUAUUGGGAAGGGAUGAGCGCUCGUAGGAUUAGGUAGUUGGUGGGGUAAUGGCAUACCAAGCGGAGGAUCCUUAGCUGGUCUGUGAGGAUGAUCAGCCACACUGGGACUGAGACACGGCCCAGACUCGUACGGAAGGGAGGAGUGGGGAAUAUUGGACGAUGGGGGAAGGCAUGAUCCAGCAAUGCCGGGUGAGUGAUGAAGGCAGUAGGGUAGUAAUGUUCUUUUAACAGGGAUGAUAAUGACAGUACCUGGAGAAUAAGCUCCGGCUAACUCCGUG